CUUGAACACUAAGCAGAAGGCUGGGACUGAGGGAGGCAGAGAAGAAGGGAAGACAGGCUGGAGAAGAGGCAGGGAGAGGGACAGCGGAGGCUGGGGUAGGAGCUCCAACACUGAGGGGAAAAGGAGGGUGACAGGUUAGAGAAGACUGGAGGGAGAAAGUUGGAAGGCGGGAACUCUAAAUAAGGUGAGAGAGAUGGAGGCUGAGAAGAGGCCCUGAAGAAGAUCCUACAGCAAAGUGAGGAAUUCUUGGCUAAAGGGAGGGAACUAGAUGGAGAGAAGGAACCCAGGUAGGGAAGAUAAGACAAGGUGAAAGUGACUGAAAUGCAGGAUGUGGAGGAGAAGAUUUAACAGAGGUUGGCAGGAGUUGAACCAGACAGAAAUAGUAGUGGCCGAACUCAGCAGAAUUGACAUAGCUGUUAGAGAGCGUUUGAGCUGGAGGAGAGGAUGGGAUGUAUGACUUGGGCAGGAGAAAGAAAGGACAGAUAUGAGCUAAGAUCACCCCAGACAGAAACAGACAGGACAAAACACAGAGCAAUUCAGUUUUACAAUGUUUCUUCCUUUUCCUGCUUCGGAUGUAAUGCUAGUUUGGACAGCAGCUGACAUCCAAUCAGACAACAGGACCACUGCCCUUGUCAUAACGAGAACCAUGACAUCACAGAAAGGGCGAGCGGAGAGAAGACAGCGGAGCUCCAGAGAAGGGAGCGGGGCUGCGCGGGGCCGCACGCCGACCGAAGCGCACCGGCUGCCGGGUGGACGGCGCUCGGACUACCGGGGGGCCACGGAGGGGCGGCCGGGUGCGCGGGACGGGGGCCGGCGGCCGGAGCUCCGUCCCGGACUGAGGGAGGGCAGGAUGCUUCGCCGGCUGAUGGGGAAUAAAGGAAGAUAUUGAAGGAGGAUGAACGAAAAUUGCAUCCUGUGUGUCAUUUUUUGCCAAACAAGACGAGAGGAAGACAACUCCCAAACUGGCAUGAUGUAACAAAAGGGUGAAGAUGCAGUCAAGAAACCCAGACAAUGCCUCACAACCGGAUGGAGACUGGGAACUGGUGUUGCUGGUGGUGCAGCAUGAGUCCAGCAGAAGACAGGAAGAAGAUGCCUUCACAUCACACUCACACACGUGCACACACACGAAACGUAAUCUGGAGUCUAAUGCCAGGACUGAAAACCAUUUCCAGGUGAAGAGAACUGGAUUAAAGUGAAUCAAGGUGAACAGAAACGACAUCAGGAGAUGUGAAAAGGGGGCGUCAUCUGGGCAGCUCUUUGAAAAAAGAUCUAAGAAAAACCUGGAACCAAACCUGUUGAUUUUCUGGAUCUGUUUUGCUGUACCUAAGUAUUGUUCUGCUUUGGUUUGUUAAGUGUUUAUAUUACAUUCCACUCUUUGACCUUUUAUUAAACCUCUGUAUUUCACCUCACUCUUGUGUGCAUUUUCCUAUGUUAUAUUUAUUCAUUUAAAGAUUUGAUAUCUCCUAUGUCAACAUCCACAUUGAUGAUGUAUUUCAGAAUGUCUGUAUACCUUACUGAGACAUCGCUGUGGAAUAAAAUGGCUCUAAAAGCACAAAUGUCAAGCUGUUUUGAUCUUUAUGAUUUUAUUUGUUCCUAGGUGCUAAGAUGGACACAAUAUUUGUCCCAGUUAAAUAUUUGUGGAGGUCUUUUUUUCUUCUUCCCUGUUUCAAACUUAGAUUAUGAGUAUAGAAUAACUCCUGGUCUGUGAGCAUUUCCUUAGAUGUUUUGUCAUAUUGAAAACUGGUAGAACGUUUUCUGCGUCUUUUCAUAAUCUCUUCAAAAGUAAAUUGCUAUCAAGGAUGCUGGAGACGUAUCUUAACCUCAGUUUUUUUGUUGUUGUUUAAAUCAUGGAUCAACAGUCUUUUCAUGUGGGAAUCUAUUUACGUCUCAGUUCACUUUAUAUAUCUAUUUUUUUGCAUCAUUAAAAAAAGAAGCGUGACCUUUAAAUCCUAGUCGACUACAUGACAGGUCUCCGUCUUGUCACAAUUCAGUAUUUGUGAACUUGUUAGGAAGAUUGAAUGGCGUAUUUAUUUACUCACCUUUCAGAAUUUUCAGGAGGUUUUAGAUCAGUUUUUGUAAAACUGACAAAUUAGCAAGAUUUGAGAUUUCUUUUAUUUUUUUGGUCAAGACUUUUGAACUGAGCCGAAUCCCGUCAGUCUCACGGACACAAAUGUGAGAAAUUGACAUUUUGAUGUACUUGCUUUCAGAACUUUUUGAGUUUCUCAUCAGAUUUUCAAAACCAAUAUUUAGUCACCACUGUUCCGGAUACUUCAAUUGAUGAAAAAUCUGAUACAUGUUUAAUAAAAUUA